CCUACGGGAGGCUGCAGUGAGGAAUAUUGGUCAAUGGGAGGAAUCCUGAACCAGCCAUGCCGCGUGCAGGACGACGGCUCUACGAGUUGUAAACUGCUUUUGUACCGGGGUAAAAUGCUCUACGAGUAGGGUUUUGAAAGUACGGUACGAAUAAGGAUCGGCUAACUCCGUGCCAGCAGCCGCGGUAAUACGGAGGAUCCGAGCGUUAUCCGGAUUUAUUGGGUUUAAAGGGUGCGUAGGUUGUUUUAUAAGUUAGCGGUGAAAUACCGAUGCUCAACAUCGGGGCUGCCGCUGAUACUGUAGGACUAGAGAUCGGAUGCAGCAGGCGGAAUGUGUAGUGUAGCGGUGAAAUGCAUAGAUAUUACACAGAACACCGAUUGCGAAGGCAGCUUGCUAGGCCGGAUCUGACACUGAUGCACGAAAGCGUGGGGAUCGAACAGGAUUAGAUACCCCUGUAGUC
rnacentral:rRNA from 1 species